UAGGGAAUCUUCCGCAAUGGACGCAAGUCUGACGGAGCAACGCCGCGUGAGUGAAGAAGGAUUUCGGUUCGUAAAACUCUGUUGUUAGAGAAGAACAGCGCAUAGAGUAACUGUUAUGCGUGUGACGGUAUCUAACCAGAAAGCCACGGCUAACUACGUGCCAGCAGCCGCGGUAAUACGUAGGUGGCAAGCGUUGUCCGGAUUUAUUGGGCGUAAAGCGAGCGCAGGCGGUCAAUUAAGUCUGAUGUGAAAGCCCCCGGCUCAACCGGGGAGGGUCAUUGGAAACUGGUUGAAUUGAGUGCAGAAGAGGAGAGUGGAAUUCCAUGUGUAGCGGUGAAAUGCGUAGAUAUAUGGAGGAACACCAGUGGCGAAGGCGACUCUCUGGUCUGUAACUGACGCUGAGGCUCGAAAGCGUGGGGAGCGAACAGG
rnacentral:rRNA from 1 species